UCACAAUGAAGUGUCUGGGGCCAAAGGGUUUCUUCUCCCACCCUACCUCCACUGGAGAGAAUUUCAUUUUAAUGAGGAGUCAGGACUGUUGAGAGAGAACUUAAUGUCCAAAGAAGUCCCCAAGGAGCCACAUGCUGCUUGAAUUAUGUAAAGAGUGAUGAGACGGGG